rnacentral:rRNA from 1 species
GCCGGCGACGUAUCUUUCAAGUGUCUGCCCUAUCAACUUUCGAUGGUAAGCGAUUUGCCUACCAUGGUUGUAACGGGUAACGGGGAAUCAGGGUUCGAUUCCGGAGAGGGAGCAUGAGAAAUGGCUACCACAUCUACGGAAGGCAGCAGGCGCGCAAAAUUACCCACUCCUAGAACGGGGAGGUAGUGACGAAAAAUAACAAUACCGGACUCAAUGAGGCUCGGUAAUUGAAAUGAGUACAGUUUAAAACCCUUAACGAGGAUCUAUUGGAGGGCAAGUCUGGUGCCAGCAGCCGCGGUAAUUCCAGCUCCAAUAGCGUAUAUUAAAGUUGUUGCAGUUAAAAAGCUCGUAGUUGGAUCUCGGGUACUAGCAUGUGGUACGCUUAACUGCGUUACUACAUGUCUGGUCCUAAUCAACCGGUUGGCCGUUGAUGCCCUUUAUUGGGUGUUUUCGGUAGCCGGUACGUUUACUUUGAGAAAAUUAGAGUGCUUAAAGCAGGCCUUACGCCUGAAUAACAUGAGC